GAUGAACGCUGGCGGCGUGCCUAAUACAUGCAAGUCGAGCGAACAGAUGAGGAGCUUGCUCCUCUGACGUUAGCGGCGGACGGGUGAGUAACACGUGGAUAACCUACCUAUAAGACUGGGAUAACUUCGGGAAACCGGAGCUAAUACCGGAUAAUAUAUUGAACCGCAUGGUUCAAUAGUGAAAGACGGUUUUGCUGUCACUUAUAGAUGGAUCCGCGCCGCAUUAGCUAGUUGGUAAAGUAACGGCUUACCAAGGCAACGAUGCGUAGCCGACCUGAGAGGGUGAUCGGCCACACUGGAACUGAGACACGGUCCAGACUCCUACGGGAGGCAGCAGUAGGGAAUCUUCCGCAAUGGGCGAAAGCCUGACGGAGCAACGCCGCGUGAGUGAUGAAGGUCUUCGGAUCGUAAAACUCUGUUAUUAGGGAAGAACAAAUGUGUAAGUAACUAUGCACGUCUUGACGGUACCUAAUCAGAAAGCCACGGCUAACUACGU
rnacentral:rRNA from 1 species